rnacentral:lncRNA from 1 species
GAAGAAGCAGGCUGAUUCGAUUCGAUCCUCAAGGUAGCCCUUCCCUUCCCCUUCUCUCUCCGAUUCGAUCCGAUCUAUGCACAAAGUUCACUAGUUUGGAUGCAUCAUAGAACUUGUGGUGAUGUUGUUUAGAUUGCAGCAAGUAAAAAUACAAGUGUUGAGGUUGUUAAGUGUUUUGUUACGGUGAAAUCCGAACCAUGUAUCGAAUAUUAGGAUGGCCGACUUUCUAUGAUUAUCUCUUGUUGCUAUGUUUGUCUUUUCCAUAUCCAAAUCAUGUCUACGAAUUGGUGUGCUUGAAAACCAAGGAAUGCUUCUAUUCCUUGUCGGUGUUCUUUUUAUUUUGGUAUAAGACGAACCAACUCGUUAUUUGUUUGGUGGUUGGUUUGCAUACAUGUUCUUUUUCUGCAGAAAUAUGUUGUGGUUCCUUGCAAAGUAAAUAUGCUGUCAGAUUUACUUUUAUUUUGUUCCUAAUCAUUUUGUUCUAUAAUGUGUAGAUGCUGGCCUUUCAUGUUUCUUCGUGAGCAUCAGGACAAAGAAGUUGGAAGAAGCAUAGUUCUAGCUCAUUGGAGUUAGUUCUGGGAGUAAUGAAGCCCUUUAGGCUGAUCCUAUUUGUAUGUGUGUUAUAUGAUGUAGACUGUACACUUGUAGACUCAUGUGGUAGACUGUACACUUGUAGGGCUCAUGUGAUACUCAUGUGGUAGACUGUACACUUGUAGAGCUGUUAUCUAAUUGUAAACUUGAUGCUGAUCACAUUUGUAUGUAUGUUAUAUGAUGUAG